CACUAUUUGAAAUAAGAUUUUUUAUAAAAUUCUAGAGUGGGGUGCUCAUUUUCGCCAUAUCUUUCCAUGUUUUCUACAGGUCUAUAUGUUUUUGAAGUAUACUGAUAUUUCUAUAUGAAGAUAACUUCUAAUGCAAAACAUUCCUAAGCUUGAAAACAUGUUUGUUUGAAAAUAAUCAUCUGUAAAGUUAGAUUAAAAGGUGUUUGAAAUUUCCUGAAGUUUUGUCAAUGGGGGACACAUAUUCGCCGUUUUUACACAUCUAUUAAAAACCAAAUAACUGCAGCUUUAUAUAAUAUUUAUCAAAUAAAUUUCAUUAUAGAUGAACAGCAGACAUUUCAAAGGUGUAAAAAACAGAAAUUUAGGCCAAGCAGUCAAAAAAAUGCUCAGAAAAAAGUCUAUGAAAAUCCUGUUUUUCAUUCAGGAAAUUGACCGAAAAUAAAAUUAUAAUUUAUUGGCAUAUUUCUUCCAUUUCAGCCAUCCUUUGAAGUGUUUACACCUCAAAAUCAAAAAACGGCGAAAUUGUGUCCACGGCGAAUAUGGGCCCCCC
rnacentral:lncRNA from 1 species